rnacentral:rRNA from 1 species
UACGGAGGGUGCGAGCGUUGUCCGGAAUCACUGGGCGUAAAGGGCGCGUAGGCGGUCUGCUAAGCGUGCGGUGAAAGCCUGGGGCUCAACCCCAGGUCUGCCGUGCGAACUGGUGGACUAGAGCACUGUAGAGGCAGGUGGAAUUCCGGGUGUAGCGGUGGAAUGCGUAGAGAUCCGGAAGAACACCGGUGGCGAAGGCGGCCUGCUGGGCAGUUUUGCUGACACUGAGGCGCGACAGCGUGGGGAGCAAACAGG